rnacentral:rRNA from 1 species
UAUAACAGCUAUAAUUUACUUGAUCUUGACACAAUCCUACUUGGAUAACUGUGGUAAUUCUAGAGCUAAUACAUGCAUUAAAGCUCUGACCUCACGGGAAGAGUGCACUUAUUAGAACAAAACCAAGCGGCUUCGGCUGUUUUCGGUUGACUCAUAGUAACUGAGCUGAUCGCACGGUCUUGCACCGGCGACGUGUCUUUCAAGUAUCUGCCGUAUCAACUUUCGAUGGUAGUGUAUCUGACUACCAUGGUGAUCACGCGUAACGGAGAAUAAGGGUUCGGCUCCGGAGAGUUCGCCUGAGAAAUCGCGAACACAUCUAAGGAAGGCAGCAGGCGCGAAAAUUACCCACUCUCAGCACGAGGAGGUAGUGACGAAAAAUAACGAGACCGUUCUCUUAUGAGGCCGGUCAUCGGAAUGGGUACAAUUUAAACCCUUUAACGAGUAUCUAUGAGAGGGCAAGUCUGGUGCCAGCAGCCGCGGUAAUUCCAGCU